rnacentral:RNase_P_RNA from 1 species
AGAGUAGGCGCAGGCGGUUGCGGAUUUGUUAAUUUAGCGAAUCUGAGGAAAGUCCGGACUCCCGAAAGACCAAACCUGCUGGAUAACGCCCAGUGCGUGCGAGCGUGAGGAUAGUGCCACAGAAAGAUACCGCCAAAUUUAGGGAAUAGGGAGUAGGGAAUAGGGAAAUAAAACCCCAAUCCCAAAUCCCAAAUCCCCAAUUCUUGGUAAGGGUGCAAAGGUGCGGUAAGAGCGCACCAGCAGCAUCGAGAGGUGCUGGCUCGGUAAACCCCGGUUGGGAGCAAGGAAGGGACUAUGGUUGGUCUUUUACCAGUUCCGUAAAUAACCCGCUAGAGGCAUUUGGUAACAAAUGUCCCAGAUAGAUAACUGCCGUUUGGUAGACUUUAUGUCUCCAAAUAACAGGACCCGGCUUAUGUCCGACUCUCUCA